AGGAAGCUCUGCAGGCAGCCUGGCAGCAGCCAGGGAAAGCAGGCUCUGUCCAAGAAAAGCAGUGAGCCUGAUCUUCCCCCACUCCCCACUGGAGCCUCCCUACCUGCCUGAGCUGUGUGGUGCUUCCCUCCAGGCUGCAAUGCCCCCUAGGACUGCCCAAGUCGGAUACCUGCAGGUGGGUGGGUGCGGGUGGGUGCCAAGAACCGUUCCACCUGCCAGCAGCUCGUCCUCCCCACCGGAGAGGCAGCUAACCCUACUUAAACAACAAUGAACAGUUGAUGGCCUCACAGAUCGGUUUAUGGAGUCCGUGGCUGAUGAUAAAAAAACUGUGUGAAGUACAGGGGAAUGGCCCAUGCAUCAUCAGAGCCCUAGCUCCACCGGAGAAAAGGAAAAAGCUCUAUUUUGCUGAAGGAUGCCAAGAUGCCACUCUCCUCGGUGAACACCCCAGUUUAGACCGUGCUCCAGGGACUGCUUGGACUACAUGUUUUACAAACAUCCAGAGGAGGGAGAGCACAAAACAACUGCAGAUGCUCCUUUUGCCUGAAGAAGGGUGGUUGUACCCAAAAGCUU